rnacentral:rRNA from 1 species
CAUGAGUGGCGGACGGGUGGGUAACGCGUGGGCAACCUGGCCUGUACAGGGGGAUAACACUUAGAAAUAGGUGCUAAUACCGCAUAACGGGGGAAGCCGCAUGGCUUUUCCCUGAAAACUCCGGUGGUACAGGAUGGGCCCGCGUCUGAUUAGCCAGUUGGCAGGGUAACGGCCUACCAAAGCGACGAUCAGUAGCCGGCCUGAGAGGGCGGACGGCCACACUGGGACUGAGACACGGCCCAGACUCCUACGGAAGGCAGCAG